rnacentral:rRNA from 1 species
CCUACGGGAGGCAGCAGUGGGGAAUAUUGCACAAUGGGGGAAACCCUGAUGCAGCGACGCCGCGUGAGCGAGGAAGUAUUUCGGUAUGUAAAGCUCUAUCAGCAGGGACGAAAAAAGACGGUACCUGACUAAGAAGCCUUGGCUAACUACGUGCCAGCAGCCGCGGUAAAACGGGGGGUGCAAGCGUUAGUCGUAUUGACUGGGGGUAAAGGGAGCGGAGACGGCAAGGCAAGACAGAGGUGAAAGGGCAGGGCUCAACCCUGUAAAUGCUUUUGAAACUGGGGUGCUAGAGUGCAGGAGAGGUGAGUGGAAUUCCUGGUGUAGCGGUGAAAUGCGUAGAUAUUAGGAGGAACAUCAGUGGCGAAGGCGACUAUCUGGCACAUAACUGACGCUGAGGAGCGAAAGCGUGGGUAGCAAACAGGAUUAGAUACCCUAGUAGUC